GUAGGGUGUUUAGCAGCAUCUCUGCCUUCUGCCACUAGAUGCCAGUACAACCCCUCUGGUGUGACAAAAAUGUCUCCUGCCAAUACUAAAUGUCGCUUGGGGGAGCAAACUCAUCCUUGCUAAAAACCACAACCUUAGUAAAAACAUUUUUGACAAAGAAUUGAAUUCUGACCCCAAACUGAAGUGGGAUAAUGAAUUAUAGGAAUUGAAGAACUGGAGACAAGUACUGUGGGUAACUUUAAGAAUCUUGAAUGUGUAAUAUUGAUUACAGUUACAAUGAGGUAAGAAGAGGCAUCUCAAAAAAGAGAAGGGUUUGUGGGAGGUUAUUUUUAAGACAGGUGAGACUUGAGCAUGUUUGUACACUACUUGGAAGGAAAUGGAGAUAAUUGAUGUUCAAAUUCCUUGAAGGAAUAGCAUCCAAAAUACUGAUGGAGGAUUUGCCUUACAAGAGGAGAAUACUUCUUUCAUUGUAAUUGGAGGUGAGGAAACAGAGUUGGAAAGGCUAAGUUAACUCGCCCAGACUCAAUGAUGAAGUGGUUAUGAAGAGCAAAUGAGUUAUAGAUUGUGAAGCCAUUGGUGAUCUGUAAAUUGA